rnacentral:rRNA from 1 species
UACGGAGGAUCCGAGCGUUAUCCGGAUUUAUUGGGUUUAAAGGGAGCGUAGGUGGAUUGUUAAGUCAGUUGUGAAAGUUUGCGGCUCAACCGUAAAAUUGCAGUUGAAACUGGCAGUCUUGAGUACAGUAGAGGUGGGCGGAAUUCGUGGUGUAGCGGUGAAAUGCUUAGAUAUCAGGAGGAACACCGGUGGCGAAGGCGGUUUACUGGACCACAACUGACGCUGAGACACGAAAGCGUGGGGAGCAAACAGG